GUGGGGAAUCUUCCGCAAUGGACGAAAGUCUGACGGAGCGACGCCGCGUGAGUGAUGAAGGCCUUCGGGUCGUAAAGCUCUGUCAUCGGGGACGAACGGCCUCAGCAGGUAAUGGCUGGGGAUUGACGGUACCCGAGAAGGAAGCCACGGCUAACUACGUGCCAGCAGCCGCGGUAAUACGUAGGUGGCAAGCGUUGUCCGGAAUUAUUGGGCGUAAAGCGCGCGCAGGUGGGAUCUUAAGUCCAUUUUGAAAGUUCGGAGCUCAACUCCGUGAUGGGAUGGAAACUGGGAUUCUUGAGUACCGGAGAGGAAAGCGGAAUUCCCCGUGUAGCGGUGAAAUGCGUAGAUAUGGGGAGGAACACCAGUGGCGAAGGCGGCUUUCUGGACGGUGUCUGACACUGAGGCGCGAAAGCCAGGGGAGCGAACGGGAUUAGAAACCCGUGUAGUCC
rnacentral:rRNA from 1 species